rnacentral:rRNA from 1 species
AUUGAACGCUGGCGGCAGGCCUAACACAUGCAAGUCGAGCGAGCGGCGGACGGGUGAGUAAUGUAUGGGGACUGCCCGAUAGCGGGGGAUAACUACUGGAAACGGUAGCUAAUACCGCAUACUAUCGGAUAACCCAUAUGGGAUUAGCUCGUAGGUGAGGUAAUGGCUCACCUAGGCGACGAUACCUAGCUGGUCUGAGAGGAUGAUCAGGCACACUGGGACGGAGACACGGCCCAGACACCUACGGAGGCAGCAGUGUGGAAUAUUGCACAAUGGGCGCAAGCCUGAUGCAGCCAUGCCGCGUGUAUGAAGAAGGCCCUAGGGUUGUAAAGUACCUUCAGUCGGGAGGCGUUACCGACAGAAGAAGCACCGGCUAACUCCGUGCCAGCAGCCGCGGUAAUUC